rnacentral:rRNA from 1 species
AUGCAGUCGAGCGACGCGCCUUCGGGUGACGGAGCGGCGAACGGGUGAGUAACACGUGGGCAACCUGCCCUCAGCUCUGGGAUAACUCCGGGAAACCGGGGCUAAUACCGGAUACGACAUGCCGUGGCAUCGUGGUGUGUGGAAAGUUUUUCGGCUGAGGAUGGGCCCGCGGCCUAUCAGCUUGUUGGUGGGGUGAAGGCCUACCAAGGCGACGACGGGUAGCCGGCCUGAGAGGGCGACCGGCCACACUGGGACUGAGACACGGCCCAGACUCCUACGGGAGGCAGCAGUGGGGAAUAUUGCGCAAUGGGCGAAAGCCUGACGCAGCGACGCCGCGUGGGGGAUGAAGGCCUUCGGGUUGUAAACCUCUUUCAGCAGGGACGAAUUCAGACGGUACCUGCAGAAGAAGCACCGGCCAACUACGUGCCAGCAGCCGCGGUAAUACGUAGGGUGCAAGCGUUGUCCGGAAUUAUUGGGCGUAAAGAGCUCGUAGGCGGUUUGUCGCGUCGGCUGUGAAAACUUGGGGCUCAACCCCAAGCCUGCAGUCGAUACGGGCAGACUAGAGUGCGGUAGGGGAGACUGGAAUUCCUGGUGUAGCGGUGAAAUGCGCAGAUAUCAGGAGGAACANCNGGUGGCGAAGGCGGGUCUCUGGGCCGUAACUGACGCUGAGGAGCGAAAGCGUGGGGAGCGAACAG